AAUAGAUACCCUGGUAGUCCACGCCGUAAACGAUGGAUACUAGCUGUUGGGGCGCAAGCUUCAGUGGCUAAGCGAAAGUGAUAAGUAUCCCACCUGGGGAGUACGAACGCAAGUUUGAAACUCAAAGGAAUUGACGGGGGCCCGCACAAGCGGUGGAGCAUGUGGUUUAAUUCGAUGAUACGCGAGGAACCUUACCAAGGCUUAAAUGGGAAACGACAGAUCUGGAAACAGGUCCUCCUUCGGGCGUUUUUCAAGGUGCUGCAUGGUUGUCGUCAGCUCGUGCCGUGAGGUGUCAGGUUAAGUCCUAUAACGAGCGCAACCCCUGUUGUUAGUUGCCAGCGAGUCAAGUCGGGAACUCUAACAAGACUGCCGGUGCAAACCGUGAGGAAGGUGGGGAUGACGUCAAAUCAUCACGGCCCUUACGGCCUUGGGCUACACACGUGCUACAAUGGCCGGUACAGAGAGCAGCCACUGGGCGACCAGGGAGCGAAUCUACAAAACCGGGUCACAGUUCGGAUCGGAGUCUGCAACCCGACU
rnacentral:rRNA from 1 species